UAGCAAGUCGUACGAGAAGGCCACUGAAAUUGAUUGAAGUUAGAGUGCUUGCACAAAGAUGGAUUUCAGUGGAAGUGGAUUCUCCUUCUAGUGGCAAACGGGUGAGUAACACGUGGGUACCUGCCUCUAAGACUGGGAUACCAAUUGGAAACGAUUGUUAAUACCGGAUGUGCUCUACGGAGUAAAGAUGCCCUUAAAGCAUCACUUAGAGAUGGGCCUGCGGCGCAUUAGCUAGUUGGUGAGGUAACGGCCCACCAAGGCGACGAUGCGUAGCCGAACUGAGAGGUUGAUCGGCCACAUUGGGACUGAGACACGGCCCAGACUCCUACGGGAGACAGCAGUUAGGAAUAUUCGUCAAUGGGGGGAAACCCUGAACGAGCAAUGCCGCGUGAGUGAUGACGGUCCUUCCUGGAUUGUAAAACUCUGUUGUUUAGGAAAAAUUGCACAUAUAGGAAAUGAUAUGUGUUUGAUGGUACUAUUCAAGAAAGCCACGGCUAACUACGUGCCAGCAGCCGC
rnacentral:rRNA from 1 species